CUGUACUCGAGCGGAAGGAGGAAAAGCCCUUGUUCUUGACUCAUCUCAGUAAAGCGAGGCUGACAGACUCCCAAGCUUGGCACACCCUCUGUGAAUUGGACUGGCUGUCAUCAUUCCUGAGACUGCAUGGUGGUGAAUCUGGGCGAUGAAUAAGUGUCAGACCUGUGUGUGAUGGUUGCUAAUGCUAUAGUGGAAAGCCAAUGCUCUGAUCUUUUUUCUGUGGAUAGCAGUGGACAGUCCUACCGUUAAUCAUUCUGGGGAGAGGCUCCUUUCAGGCAUCAUGGUGUCCUGACACAGUGUUACAGAAGUGUUUCAAGUGACCCAGACUUGCUACAUCCCUGACCACAGUGACAGAGACAAUCCAUGGCAUUCGGGACAAUUUUCCUUCAGUGGUUUAUUUUAUCAUGUUAAUGACGCCUGGAGAGACUACCUGGGUCUUGUUUCAACGUGCGAAGAGGUUUCCCAGAGUCUGCACAGCAGUGGACUGGAUGGGAGGCUCCCAUGAUCUGAUCAGUUUCAGGCGAGAACACGCUCCUGGGCAAAGAAGCUUGAGAGAGGCCAGGAAGACUUCUAGACAAGCUGCUGCAGAAAACCUUCUGAGCCCUGGAUCCCAGAGUUCCUGCUUGGCGCCUGCCUGAGUCCUCCUGAGGCUGCAGGGAGCGAUGGCGGUCCCUGGACUCAUGAGCCCACCGUAUGGGGCCCUAUGCACCCAGCUGCUGCUGACUCUUUGGGUGAGCCACCCGCGGGAGCAAUCUGAUGGGGACCCAGAUGGGGAAGGGGAACAGAUGGAUUCGCCCUG
rnacentral:lncRNA from 1 species